AACGAACGCUGGCGGCAUGCUUAACACAUGCAAGUCGAACGAGACCUUCGGGUCUAGUGGCGCACGGGUGCGUAACGCGUGGGAAUCUGCCCUUUGCUACGGAAUAACUCAGAGAAAUUUGUGCUAAUACCGUAUAAUGUCUACGGACCCAAGAUUUAUCGGCCAAGGAUGAGCCCGCGUAAGAUUAGCUUGUUGGUGGGGUAAAGGCCUACCAAGGCGACGAUCUUUAGCUGGUCUGAGAGGAUGAUCAGCCACACUGGGAGUGGGACACGGCCCAGGCUCCUACGCGAGGAAGCAGUGGGGAAUAUUGGACAAUGGGCGGAAGCGUGAUCCAGCAAUGCCGCGUGAGUGGUGAAGGGCUUAGGGUUGUAAAGCUGUUUCACCCGCAAUGUUACUGACAGUAACUGUGGAACAAGCUCCAGCUAACUCCGUGCCACCCGCCGCCGUAA
rnacentral:rRNA from 1 species